AUUUCCGUGUAGUUUAUCACCUUCAUUUUUUGAUAUAUAAAGGUCCCAGCAUCCACAAACAAUUUACUCAUACUCGUAAAUAAACUCAAUCAAAAUGAAGCUUAUCACUGUAGUAUUGAUCGCUUGCGUUGUCCUGACGCAAGCGGAUGUAUCCUACGCACAAUGUAAUGGAUACUGUUCAAUGAUACUUAAACCAGUCUGUGGUCAGAACGCUUGGGGUGAAAUACGUUCAUUCGGAAGUGAAUGCGUAUUAGACAUGCAUAACUGCCAAUAUCCUCAUAACAAAUUCCUCCUUAACCCGGCCGUCAUAUGUUGAGAAAUCAAAUAUGUUCGAUAACAACUUGACAAUGGACUUGUUUAGGUAUUAUCUAGUAUCAACUUACAUUAGCAUAAAACUUGUUUGCUUUAAAUUUACUGUUAUCAAAAAUUAAUUAUAUAAACAACAAUAACAACCGAUUUUGAAACUGGUUAAUGGGAGAUACUUAUUAACAUCAUAAUUUAAUUACUUUAAAAUGAGAAUAAACAACUACUAUUAAAUGUU